GAGCGGGGGAGGGAGGCCGGCGAUCAGGGUUUAAAUUUAGACGCAAAUCUAAACAGAUACUGUCCCCUCCCAGGGCAGGACUCGGGCGAGGGAGCCGCGACUCCAUUAAUCUGCCCAAACAUGGGGAUGGGACAACCGCCUGGCCCCUCUUCCUCGCGAAGUUUCCGCCGGACCCCGGUCUCUGUCCGGGUCCCAGCCCUUUUCAGCCUCGCCCUCCUUUCACAUGCCUUUUUCUGGCUCUAAAAGUUAAAGUUGUUCUUCUAUUCCUUUCCUCUCCCCUCUUUUCUGUUUCUUUUACGUGCAUCCUUGUUGCUUUCGUCCUUUUUUUUUUUUUUUUUUUUUUUUUUUUUUUAAUUAUUGCAUUCAUGUCAUACCUGGGUUUCCUGGCGUUCUGGCGUGGGAGCGAGAGGACUGUGGAGGCGUCUGUGCUCUCUCAUGGCCCCAGACGGGAGCUGUGGCAACGCGCAGUGUGGCACCGACAGGACCACCUUUCCUAUUUUCAUCGCCUUUCUUUUCCACGUGCACGGUCACAUUUUCAGGAAACCGCUAUCAAUCUAUCCGUCUCUCAUCUGUGUAUACGGCGGGGUGGGGCGGGGGGAGGGUUGGGGGGGAAGGACAAGAAAUCCAAGCAAAGAUUUUCAGGUUCCCUGUGGCGUGAAAUCUUUUUCUUUUCCCCUGAUUAGACUGAUGCAUUGGAUUCUGUGGGAAUUUCAGCUCCCACAAGCUGCUUGCUAAAGGGCCUUUUCCCGUUCCUAUUAAAUAGAGUAAAGGCCAAGAUCCUGAACAUCCGAUUCCCAGAAGACCCAGCAUAGCGGCCCUCCCCCAGCGCUGUCCCAGCCCUCUGGGCAGCCAAGAGGCUGGAAGAUGAGGAGGCCACACCGGAGGGAUGUGGGACCUGGAAUCUGCUACCAGCUUGUAUACUGGCCACCGGCCCCAGACAGAGGGAGACACAGAAUCUGAAGCAGGCUCCAGGCUCUAGACGGUCAGCCCAGAGCCUGAUGCGGGGCUCGAACUCAUCAACCAUGAGAUCAUGACCUGAUCUGAAAUCGGACGCUUAACGACUGAGCCGCUCUCAGCGCCCCUUCCUUCCUUCCUUUUAAAGAAGCAUGGCUGAGCUGGUGAUGGGAACAUAGUUUCUUACCAUGUCUUCUAACCCUGACUCAUGGCGCCUCUUUCUGCCUCCAUCUUGUCACUCUUCCUUUCGGCUCAGAAAGGGAGCCGAGGGGACUGCCCCAGCACAGGUUUCUGGCUUCAAAACAGAAGGACGGAAGUGCCUACCCAAAGGAAACCGUUAGGCCCAGAUAGCAUCUCAGUCACCCAAGGUAACUUGCAGCUGCACCCCACGCCCUGCCCCAGGCCUUCCCUUGCCCAGUGAGAACCCAUAGCCCACAGUGCGAACAAACUCGGCCUCUGCCAUGCUCCGGGGUCUCAAGAUCUGCAGAGUAGGAAGCUGCUGCAGCUUUGGGCCCUAGGCAGAGACCUUCACUGGAGGCAGGAAUGGAAAAUGGGGAGAGAGGGGUCGGGGGAGGGGGGGAGCGACAGCUCUGAGCUCAGUUUCAGCAGCCAUGAGUAGGGGUGGGGGGUGUGCCCCCCUUCUGCCCCUCCUGUCCCUCCAGAAGAUUCCCAGAAGCCAGAGUCGCGAUAGCCCGCUGGUAAACCCUCCGUUUUUGCUGGGUCACCUGGGAUUGUGACUUGCUGCCCUAUGGGCUGGGAGACGCUGACAGCCUAAGGGGAAGGGAAAGUGGCUCGGAGGGGGUGGUUCCCCUCCCUCUCUGGGGGGCUGGCUGUCUCAUCAGGACCCACUUCCUUUACUUUAUCCCACGCCCCCUUCACACAGCCUUGCAGUCUGAACCAGCCAAGCAGUAAAUAAAGGCCAGGGCAGGAUGAAGAACAGGGAGCAAUAGAGACACAGCCAGGGCAGGGAUCCCAUAGUGGAGCCCGUAUCACCACGGGCAGCCGGACGCACAUGGCAGGCCCUCAACAGAUACUUGGUGAGUGAGUGGAUAAAAGAAUAAGUGAAGCAAAUUAGUAGAAUCUUUGUCUUUAAAUCAAAGACAAAGCCUUUUCCAUAGAUAGGUCUCCAAGGGGAGAAAAGACCCACUGGGAGAAAAGAUCAUUGAAGGCCAUGAGAAGUUAGGCAGUAACUUAAUUGUUGAACAGAAUUGUCAAGAGCUCAUUCAGUCAGCUCUUAGCGGCCACAGUGUGCUGCUGAUGGUCUAUUUUUAAAAUGAAGAGCAGGAAGGGGCACCUGGCUGGCUGGGUUGGAAGAGCAUACGACUCUUGACCUCGGGGUCAUGAGUUCGAGCCCCACAUGGGGUGUAGAGAUUGCUUAAGUAACUAAAACUUUUAAAAAAAUUAAGAGCAAGGAACCCAACAAAUAUUCUUGCAUGACUGCAAAUAAUUAACUUUA